UUGCUUUGGCAGCACAUAUGCUCAAAUUGGAAUAAUAAGGAGAAGAUUAGCAUGGCCCUACUCAAGGGUGACCUACAAAUUCAUGAAGCAUUUCGUCUUUUA
ensembl:snRNA U6 U6 spliceosomal RNA